ACUUCAGGACACAAAAUCGCGACGGCAGC
rnacentral:sRNA from 1 species